rnacentral:rRNA from 1 species
AACGCUAGCUACAGGCUUAACACAUGCGAGUCGAGGGGCAGCACUAGGUAGCAAUACUGAGGUGGCGACCGGCGCACGGGUGCGUAACGCGUAUCCAACCUUCCCGAUACUCUUGGAUAGCCUUCCGAAAGGGAGAUUAAUACAAGAUGGUGUUUCACUUUCGCAUGUUAUUGAAACUAAAGAUUUAUCGGUAUCGGAUGGGGAUGCGUGACAUUAGAUAGUAGGCGGGGUAACGGCCCACCUAGUCUACGAUGUCUAGGGGUUCUGAGAGGAAGGUCCCCCACACUGGAACUGAGACACGGUCCAGACUCCUACGGGAGGCAGCAGUGAGGAAUAUUGGUCAAUGGUCGGAAGACUGAACCAGCCAAGUAGCGUGAAGGAUGAAGGUUCUAUGGAUUGUAAACUUCUUUUAUACGGGAAUAAAACCUCCCACGUGUGGGAGCUUGUAUGUACCGUAUGAAUAAGCAUCGGCUAACUCCGUGCCAGCAGCCGCGGUAAUACGGAGGAUGCGAGCGUUAUCCGGAUUUAUUGGGUUUAAAGGGAGCGUAGACGGGGGAUUAAGUCAGUUGUGAAAGGCUGCGGCUCAACCGCAGCACUGCAGUUGAUACUGGUUUCCUUGAGUGCGGUUGAGGUGUAUGGAAUUCGUGGUGUAGCGGUGAAAUGCUUAGAUAUCACGAAGAACUCCGAUUG